GAAGUCAAGAAAGCACUAGACAUUAUAGGUGACUUGAAGGCGCCCGGUCCAGAUGGUAUGCCAUCGGUGUUUUAAAAAAACUUGUCGUUAAUGGGGGUUGAGAUUGUUCGAGAGGUGCUGCAAGUACUGAAUGGGGGAGAGAUGCCAGCAGAAUGGAAUGACACUUGGGUGACACUUAUUUUGAAGGUGAAACAACCAGAGGCUAUGAAAGAUCUGCGACCUAGUUCCCUUUGCAAUGUGCUUUACAAGUUAAUCUCGAAGGUGCUUGCAAACCGGUUAAAAAUCAUCUUGUCAGAAAUUAUUGCACCAAACCAGAGUGCUUUUGUGCCGGGGCGUAUCAUCAUGGAUAACAUUCUUUUUUAGAGAAAAGUUAGUCACCCUAUGCAAAACAAGAGGCACAGGUCUAUGGGCUUGGCGGUGGUGAAACUUGAUAUGAGUACGGCUUACGAUAGAGUUGAGUGACACUUUCUAGUGGAAAUGAUGAGUAAUAUGGGUUUUGCGGAUAGAUUGAUACAACUUGUUAUGAAAUGCUGCACCAUGGUGAAAUAUGGCUUCAAAUUAAAUGGAAAUCUGACGGAUGAGGUCAUUCUCAUUCCACGAAGAGGCUUGCACCAAGGGGAUCCCAUCUCUCCCUACCUCUUUCUCACUUGCGCUGAAGCGUUCUCAUGUCUUCUCCAUUCGGCAGAGAUGGAUGGCAGGUUGGAGGGAGUAAGAGUGGCGGCAAAUGCACCAAGUUUUAAUCGCUUGCUGUAUGUUGAUGACUCUUUGAUACUGAUGAAGGUGGAUGACGAUAGUGCCCAUCACCUGCUUGAUAUCCUUGCUUUGUAUGAAGCAUGUUCUGGCCAAACAAUCAAUGUAGACAAGUCUUCGUCCAUGUUUAGUAAGAACAGGAAAAGGAGAUGCCGACUGAGUUUCAUGGAGAAGAUGGGGAUCAAAACAGAGGCUAGGCAUGAGAAGUACCUUGGACUCCCGAUUUAUGUUGGUAGAUCGAGGAGAAAAGCGUUUGAAUUUCUGAAGGAACGUAUGUGGAAGAGGGUACAAGGUUGGCAAGAAAAAUGGCUAUAA
rnacentral:rRNA from 1 species